rnacentral:sRNA from 1 species
UCGGCUGAAGCAAUAAUCACGAAAAUGAACGUUUUGCUCCAGAAACAUGGGGCUAAACACAUAUGUAAGGUCCCGGAAGGAUUGCGCGAAUUAUGCACCGACAUCGCACGCGAGGUUCUACGCUCGCAACCGAGGAACAUUUAUUGCUUUGUUGCUGAUUAUGUUGAAGCGCUUUUGAUCACACGGGAAAAUGCCAAAGUCGCGGUGAAAGUCGUAAACAAUAUUUUAUCGGGGAGCCAGGCCAUCGUGGGUAUACUUCACCGGAGCGGCUUGAGUUUAGAGCAGAUCGCCCGCGUCGCGCCCAGGAUUCAGAUGGCGUUCCGCGAAUACUUGGACGCGGUAGACAUGCGAGCGGCCCAGGUGUGCGACGACGCGACUUGCGACGAGAGGUCCAGGGUAUCCCUGCAAAAUAUUUUAGAGACGACGGGGGUCCCGCUGGAACAGGCGAAGAAGCAUGCGACGAUAAUACAAGCCGCUUUCCGCGGACAUUACGAGAGGAUGCUGUUAAACGAGUCCCGUGGCAUGAUUCAAUGGCAACGAGCGGCAACAAGGACCCUCGAGAUCCUAAGGAAGGCAGGAGCUUCGCAAGCAGAGGCGUCGAAAGCUGCCAUUAUAAUACAGGCUACUUACCGCGGAUAUUAUACGAGGAGAAACCUAAAAAUGAAAAUGAGUAAGAGCACUCAUUGUCAGAUGCGCUUCGGUGCAUAAUUUAAAAUCAUGUUUGCGAUCUUUUAUCUAUGCAACCGCAAGAGGAAGAGAAAAAAAGCCAAGUGGACAUGAUAGAAUCCAAAGAACCUGUUCAAGCGGUAGCCUGGCUGGAUAUGAUGUACGAGGAUUCAGGGCUGACACCGACGAGAGCGAACGAAGCUGCAUCCGUUAUACAAAAAGCUUACAGACGGUAUCGUCAGAAAAGAAGUAAUCCUACUCCACCGAUAGAAUUGAAAAAAUCGAUAGUGGCGGAUGUCAUACUCAAAAAUUUGUGUCAGAAGGUUUUCGAUGAAGUCAUGGCCCGCGCGGAUAUUCCCAUGGAAUUCGGUAAUCGAGAGGAUCUGGCGAAAGCUGGCGAGAAACUUCAACGCGCUUUUAAAGAUCGAUUGAUGCGUGCUCGUAUAGCAGAGGAAGAGUACGAAGAUGAACCCAUUGAAGAAGAAUCCGACGAAUCGUUUGAGAAACUGGUAAAUUCGAUCGACGUGGCGGAAGAUUGGCAAGAAGGUCGAGAGAUCGAAGUAAAAUCUGAACGUGACGAAGAAACAGACGCGUACGUGCAAGACUAGUUUCGAAAAGAGAAAGCUGAAUUUUCUGGGAAUUGGGAGGGAAAAAGUGUCGCGAUGCUGCGGAAUCCUUUCCAGAGACCGUUAGGACGAGCCAAUUAACACGGAAGCGGUGGACGGAAAGAGGUGCAAGGAAAGAAUGAAAUGGACAACGAAUCCGGCAACCAAAAAGCUGCCUGCCGAAUGCCGCUUUUUAAAUGCACAUCCUUACGUUCAAUAAUUCCGUUAACGUGCCGCGCUUCCAUAGCGAGCUUAAAAUUCUUCCGUGCGAAGAUUGACUCUCCGUGGUACGCGUAUUACAAGUAAAACGAGUUAAAAGUUAAUUGUCCCGUUUAUAUAAUGUUAAUUUAAUUCGAACUAAUGUGAACUAUACCGUUUUAUGGGCUCAUUUAAAAUUUGAUUUGCAUAAUUUUUAUUCUCAACGUUUAGUGUUUUAA